rnacentral:rRNA from 1 species
CCCUUAGAUGUUCUGGGCUGCACGCGUGCUACACUGAUAUUGCCAAUAUGUCAUUCUUAUCCGAAAUGGAUUGGGUAAUCAAGUAAUGAAAUUUCAUGCUUGGAAUCGGUAAUUGCAAUUUUAUCGUGAACGAGGAAUUCCUAGUAAGCACUAGUCAUCAGCUAAUGUUGAUUAUGUCCCUGCCCUUUGUACACACCGCCCGUCGCUACUACUGAUUGGGUGUUCAAGUGAGAUGCUUAGACCCUUGUUGCAUGGUUCAUUAUUGUGCUCCGAAAGGAAAAAAUUUCAAGCUUGAGUGUCUAGAGGAAGUAAAAGUCGUAACA